ensembl:lncRNA
CGAAAAACACUCUGAAGACUACAUUGUCACUUUUCUUUUAGAUGUGAACACUAAAAGAGCACAAAUCCUGACUCCAGGCUCUCACCACUUUCUUCCUGGGUCCAGUUUGGGUCCAAGUUUGUGGGCAUAAGGAAAUAUCCUUGUUUUCCAUGUUUUUCCAUGAGUUUGAUGAAGAAAUACAGCAAAAUGAAAAGAAAAUGUAGUCACUGACAAGGUUUCCAGGCCCCAAAACAGAGAAGCAUCCCCAUAGCCUGAUAAUGCCUCUACCAUGCUUCAAGGGACGUAUAAGGUACGCUUUUGCAGACUGAGACUACACCACGUCCUGGAAGAGAAACAUAAG